rnacentral:rRNA from 1 species
UACGUAGGGUGCAAGCGUUUAAUCGGAAUUACUGGGCGUAAAGCGUGCGCAGGCGGUUUUGUAAGUCUGUCGUGAAAGCCCCGGGCUUAACCUGGGAAUUGCGAUGGAGACUGCAAGGCUUGAAUCUGGCAGAGGGGGGUAGAAUUCCACGUGUAGCAGUGAAAUGCGUAGAGAUGUGGAGGAACACCGAUGGCGAAGGCAGCCCCCUGGGUCAAGAUUGACGCUCAUGCACGAAAGCGUGGGGAGCGAACAGG